GUGGUUGCUUCCGUAGCACGUAUACUAAAAUUAGAAUAAUACAGAGAAGAUUAGCAUGCCUCCUGUGCAAAGAUGACAUAAAAAUUCAAGAACUAGUCAGGUUUUUU
ensembl:snRNA U6 U6 spliceosomal RNA